GACGAACGCUGGCGGCGUGCCUAAUACAUGCAAGUCGAGCGAAUGGAUUAAGAGCUUGCUCUUAUGAAGUUAGCGGCGGACGGGUGAGUAACACGUGGGUAACCUGCCCAUAAGACUGGGAUAACUCCGGGAAACCGGGGCUAAUACCGGAUAACAUUUUGAACCGCAUGGUUCGAAAUUGAAAGGCGGCUUCGGCUGUCACUUAUGGAUGGACCCGCGUCGCAUUAGCUAGUUGGCGAGGUAACGGCUCACCAAGGCAACGAUGCGUAGCCGACCUGAGAGGGUGAUCGGCCACCCUGGGACUGAGACACGGCCCAGACUCCUACGGGAGGCAGCAGUAGGGAAUCUUCCGCAAUGGACGAAAGUCUGACGGAGCAACGCCGCGUGAGUGAUGAAGGCUUUCGGGUCGUAAAACUCUGUUGUUAGGGAAGAACAAGUGCUAGUUGAAUAAGCUGGCACCUUGACGGUACCUAACCAGAAAGCCACGGCUAACUACGUGCCAGCAGCCGCUGUAA
rnacentral:rRNA from 1 species